UACGUAGGUGGCAAGCGUUGUCCGGAUCUACUGGGCGUAAAGGGCGUGCAGGCGGUUUGUUAAGUGCAGGGUGAAAGCUCCCGGCUCAACUGGGAGAGGUCCUUGCAUACUGGCAGACUUGAGGGAGGCAGAGGAGAGUGGAAUUCCCGGUGUAGUGGUGAUAUGCGUAGAUAUCGGGAGGAACACCUGUGGCGAAGGCGGCUUUCUGGGCCUUACCUGACGCUGAGACGCGAAAGCGUGGGGAGCGAACCGG
rnacentral:rRNA from 1 species